rnacentral:rRNA from 1 species
GGUCACUGCUAUUGGGAUUCGGCUAAGCCAUGCAAGCGGAGGGCGCGGUCGAAAGAUCGUGGCCCCGCACACUGCUCAGUAACACGUAGUCAACCUACCCUUGGGACGGGGACAACCUCGGGAAACUGAGGCUAAUACCCGAUAGGUGAGGGACGCUGGGAUGCCUCCUCGCCCAAAGCUCCGGCGCCCAAGGAUGGGACUGCGGUCUAUCAGGCUGUUGGUGGUGUAACGGACCACCAAACCUACGACGGGUACGGGCGAUGGGAGUCGGAGCCCGGAGAUGGGGACUGAGAAAAGGUUCCAGGCCCUACGGGGUGCAGCAGGCGCGAAACCUCCACAAUGCGCGAAAGCGUGAUGGGGUUAUCCCGAGCGCCGUCCGAUGAGGAUGGCUUUUCAUUGGUGUAAGGAUCCGAUGGAAUAAAGGGGGGGCAAGACUGGUGUCAGCCGCCGCGGUAAUACCAGCCCCCUGAGUGGUAAGGACGAUUAUUUGGCCUAAAGCGUUCGUAGCCGGCUUAUCAAGUCUUUUGUUAAAUCCAACGAUUCAAUCGUUGGGCCGCAAAAGAUACUGUUAUGCUAGAGGACGGGAGAGGUCGACGGUAUUCCAGGGGUAGGGGUGAAAUCCUAUAAUCCUUGGAGGACCACCAGUGGCGAAGGCGGUCGACUAGAACGUGCCUGACGGUGAGGGACGAAAGCUGGGGGAGCGAACCGGAUUAGAUACCCGGGUAGUCCCAGCCGUAAACGAUGCGGGCUAGGUGUUGGGGCAGCCACGAGCUGCUCCAGUGCCGCAGAGAAGUUAUUAAGCCCGCCGCCUGGGGAGUACGGCCGCAAGGCUGAAACUUAAAGGAAUUGGCGGGGGAGCACCACAAGGGGUGAAGGCUGCGGUUU